rnacentral:snRNA from 1 species
GAGAGGGAAGUUCUAGGU